UUUUCAAAAACCUCCAAAAACCUUUUUUAAAGGAAAGUUUUUCUUUAAGCAUUUGGAUGUUUUCAAACCUUCUUAAUCCACCAGUGGGUUAGAAGAUGGAGGUUUAACAAAGGGAAAGGGUAAGAUACAACAUAUUCUCCCCAACAUAAGUUCAAGAUUUUUAAAAAUUGAAAAAACCUCCUGUUGCUUAAAAACCUCUUCCCAAACAAAGGG
rnacentral:misc_RNA from 1 species